rnacentral:rRNA from 1 species
GACGAACGCUGCGGCGUGUUUAACACAUGCAAGUCGAGCGGUAAGGCCCUUCGGGGGUACACGAGCGGCGAACGGGUGAGUAACACGUGAGUAAUCUGCCCUUCACUUCGGGAUAACCGCCGGAAACGGCGGCUAAUACCGGAUACGACGCGCUUCCGCAUGGGAUGUGCGUGGAAAGUCUUCUCGGUGAAGGAUGUGCUCGCGGCCUAUCAGCUUGUUGGUGGGGUAAUGGCCCACCAAGGCUUCGACGGGUAGCCGGCCUGAGAGGGUGACCGGCCACACUGGGACUGAGACACGGCCCAGACUCCUACGGGAGGCAGCAGUGGGGAAUAUUGGACAAUGGGCGAAAGCCUGAUCCAGCAACGCCGCGUGAGGGAUGACGGCCUUCAGGUUGUAAACCUCUUUCAGUACCGACGAAGCGCCAAUAACGGUGGUGACGGUA